UACGUAGGUGGCGAGCGUUGUCCGGAAUUAUUGGGCGUAAAGAGCAUGUAGGUGGGAAUGUAAGUCUGUUGUUAAAAUGCGGAGCUCAACUCCGUAUUGCACUGGAAACUACAUUUCUUGAGUGCAGGAGAGGAAAGGGGAAUUCCCAGUGUAGCGGUGAAAUGCGUAGAUAUUGGGAGGAACACCAGUGGCGAAGGCGCCUUUCUGGACUGUGUCUGACACUGAGAUGCGAAAGCUAGGGGAGCGAACGGG
rnacentral:rRNA from 1 species